rnacentral:rRNA from 1 species
AGAACGAACGCUGGCGGCACGCCUAACACAUGCAAGUCGAGCGCCCAGCAAUGGGAGCGGCGGACGGGUGAGUAACACGUGGGAACAUGCCUUUCGGUACGGAACAACUGCGGGAAACUGCAGCUAAUGCCGUAUACGCCCUUACGGGGAAAGAUUUAUCGCCGAAAGAUUGGCCCGCGUCUGAUUAGCUAGUUGGUGAGGUAACGGCUCACCAAGGCUUCGAUCAGUAGCUGGUUUGAGAGAACGACCAGCCACAUUGGGACUGAGACACGGCCCAAACUCCUACGGGAGGCAGCAGUGAGGAAUUUUCCGCAAUGGGCGAAAGCCUGACGGAGCGACGCCGCGUGUGGGAAGAAGGCCUUCGGGUCGUAAACCACUGUCGAAGGGGAAGAUAUUGACGGUACCCGUUGGAGGAAGCCCCGGCUAACUACGCGCCAGCAGCCGC